rnacentral:tRNA from 1 species
AUUUAUAUAGCUUAUAGAGAGCAUAAUAUUGAAGAUAUUAAGGAAAUUUUAAAUUUAUAAAUA